rnacentral:lncRNA from 1 species
GGGAUAGGGAGAUAAUCCACGUGGGUCAGAUUUAAUCAAAGGAGCUCUUUAAAAGCCGAACUUUUUCACUGGCUGGUCACAGAAGAUGAAGUCAGAGAUACAAAGCAUGAGAAAUAUUUGACUUGCUGUUUCUAAAUUGAAGAUAAAGAAGGCUGCAUGGCAAGGAACAUGGGCAGCCUGUGGGAGCUAAGAAUGGUUGAUAUAAAGUAAGGAAACAGGACUUCAGGCCUACAACAGCAAAGAAGAUCAAUUCUUCCUACUCAAGAAUGAAUUUUUUCUCAGAUCCCCGACACGAGAGCUCAGCAUGGCUUACACCGUGAUUUCAGCCAGCCUUGUGAUAUUCUGAGCAGAGAACUUGGCCAUUCUGUGCUGGACUUCUGACCUACAGAACUCUUGGUGGUAGACAGCUGAAGCCUUACUGGCCUGAGGCAUCAGAGGACAGAAUCUGAAGCUGGAAGAGCAGCUAAAAUUUAAGAGAAGAACUCCCAAAAGCAACAUGAUCCUGGAGAGGAACCUUCUAGAAUCAGCUGUUUGCAGCUACCUCCCCCCUAAGACUGUGAGGGCAGGGACGGUGGCCUACUCAUAUUUGAAUUCCUAUGGCUUAGAUCACAUUCUCCGUGGUGACACCAUCAAACAUUCACUUCUCUCCUCAGACCUGGAUCUGGAAACACCCCACUCCUGCUCCCCCCACCCUCAGAAUCAUCCCAGAGACAAAGCACUUUCUCCACUUUUCAAAGAAAACAGAAACAAUCAGAGAGAGUCCUCCACCCUCUCUACCCUUUCUGUCAUCCCCACUUCCAAUCAUUCUCCAUUCUGUUUGCUUCAAGAUUAUCUUUUGAAUCUCUCCAUUUCUCUCUCUUCCACUAUCACACUAUCGCUCGCCUCACCCGAUCAUUAUUGUCUCUCACCUUGAUUUGUGCAACAGCCUGCUUCCAGGACCCCAGAGUCCUCUCUUGACUCUCUCCAUUCCAUCCUCAACGUUGAACCAGAAUGGUCUUUCAAAACUGCACAUCAAAUGAUGUCACACCUUUGCUUACCACUUCCCAAUGGCUUAUUAACCUCACUUCACAAUGCAGCUCUCUUACUUCUCUAGUUUUGUAUCUUACCAUGUCUCCCUGUUCUCUUCACACUGAUUCAAUUCUUAAAAUGCAUCACAUUUCUUAUAACCUUCGGAUAUUUACAUAUGCAUCUGAUCUGGGUGAAUGGUUUGCUUUUUAUUUGUAUUAUUAUUAUUUUUUAAUCUUGAGUCUUACAGUUUUUAUUUAAACAUCACUUCCUCCAGAAGUCUCCCUGACUCCCACCCUUCCCUC